rnacentral:piRNA from 1 species
UGACAUUGUGGUCAUUGUGCUGGUGAUC